rnacentral:lncRNA from 1 species
AUGACAGCACUCCAGCUCCGUGGCCCCCUUCUCCCUCCUCUAUAUCCCUCUGCUUGGAAGGAACAAAGACGCCGAGGGCAGGUCCAUGUCGUAGAGGUGCGGCUGGGAGUAUCUUCCACACCCAGCCUGCCAUCCGUCUUGCGUGAUGGUGGGCCAAAUUUAUGCUAUCUUACAGUGGCAGGGCCGGCAGAGACACAAGCGUCAAUCUCCCCUAUGAGGCCACCACAGGACACUCACUGCCAGCCAGGUGGAAGGAGAGCUGCACUCCGACAGUGCACACACAGUGCCCAGAUGAAGACCCCAGGGAACAUCAGUAUAAGGAAGCAGUCAGUUACAUUUAACAUAGUUAUUGUUUUGGUCACAUAGCAUGACCAAAAUGAUUAGAAAUUCAUUAUUGUUCCUCCCCUCAAAAAGUGGGGUUUGAUCCCCUCCCAUCUAACUUGGAUGGGGUUGUGUCUCACGUGUAACCAGCAGAAUGCAGCAGUAGUGACGCUGCACAUCUUGAGUCCGCGUCAGUUCUCCUGGGUUCUCAGGGAACAUUCAAGC